AGAACGUAGAAUUUUAACUUUAUUACCCAGAAAGAGAAAAGUUGUCCAUAAUUCCCUCUCUGGUUUAGUUUCGAGUCAGUAAGUGGGAGUCAGGAACACUAAACAAAUUAUUUUUAUUAUUUACCUUGAUUCAUUAGUUUUACUUAAUACUGAUCUGUAACAGGUAAAAUAAACUGUACUUGUGAUAUGUAAUUUUAAUUAGAGAUGUAGACUGGAGUGAUGAAAGGACUGUUGUAGAUUCUAUAAGCAUGUUACUAUUAAGUAGUUUGUUGUCAUAAUGCUCAUUAUAAUCUCUUAACUGCAUAUUUGAAGUAGAAUUUUGACCUCCAGCAACUGCUAACUCUCCUUGUGCAUGCCAUGUAUAGCGUGACAAAUCAUGGCUGUGCUUUUUAUCCAUCGAAUUUCUCAAAGCAAAAAUCUGUCUCCAAAAGAAUAACGAAGUCAGUGCAAGGGACUUGACUGAGUUGCUUCUCUUAAGUCCUUCUCCGCCCUUUAUUAAAGAAUCCUUAAAGCUCUUCCUCUCCUAGUAAACAUUGCUUCAAGGCCUCCCCCCCCCCUUCUAGUGAAAAUUGAUUGAUCUCGUAGCCCCUUUAAGUAGACAUUGCUGCUAAUAGCCAUUGAGCAACUUCUUUACGAGGAGACGGAGUAAGUUGCUGAGCGGGUGUGCUGACUGUUGCAUGUUGCAGUGGAACCCGAGUAAAGGGCCGCUCACAGUCGGUGCCGCGCCAGAAGGGCCGAGGAAAGGGCAGUCCAGGAGGCCCUCCUAAAACAAGUGACCGCAGGCCCACAGGUAUGCGGUCAUCCUAGGUAGAUGACUUGCUGUGCUUCAGACUGUUGCUGCAGCUGCUGCAUCUGCUGGCCUAUCACUCCUCCCGAGACUUAUCGCCCCCAUCCGAAGUUGAGAUGCUGACCCUUAGUCCUCGGGUUCGCAUUCCUUCCUCGAAAGUCACUUGAAUACCUUGGAUCCUUCUAAGAAUGGGGAAAAGCACUCUACUGUGGCCAAGGGUGUCACGGUUAUUUUAUUGGUGUCAUGGAUCUGUUUGUAUCCUGAGACAAAAAAAAAAAAAAAAGUAAAAUGGGCAACUCUUAGGGUCUCAUAUCUCAGUUUAUGUGAAAUAUUCACCCUAUAAAUAUGAAGAUGUUAGUGUAGGUGUUGUGCAUAUGGAUCUAGUCAGUUCUUUCAAUGGUGCUGUAGAGAAAGGCAGGUGUGAAGUUUAUAAAUACAAGCAUCUGUAUCAAUACGGUUUUACCAGGAAGAGUACCAUUUACUGUGCAUUAUGUAUAUUUUCUCCCGUCCAAAAGUGAAUUGCACAGGCUCCUGUGGCAGUUUAUUUUCUAACAAAAAUAAUCUGCUGCAGAAAGAACACUAAA